rnacentral:rRNA from 1 species
CAGUAGCCGCGGGAAUACGAGGGGGGCAAGCGUUGUUCGGAAUUAUUGGGCGUAAAGGGUGCGUAGGCGGCUUUUUAAGUCGGAUGUGAAAUCCCUGAGCUUAACUUAGGAAUUGCAUUCGAUACUGGGAAGCUAGAGUAUGGGAGAGGAUGGUAGAAUUCCAGGUGUAGCGGUGAAAUGCGUAGAGAUCUGGAGGAAUACCGAUGGCGAAGGCAGCCAUCUGGCCUAAUACUGACGCUGAGGUACGAAAGCAUGGGGAGCAAACAGGAUUAGAUACCCGCGUAGUCCCUGUCUCUUAUAU